GUAGUCCACGCCGUAAACGAUGGAUACUAGCUGUUCGGCGCAAGCUGAGUGGCUAAGCGAAAGUGAUAAGUAUCCCACCUGGGGAGUACGGGCGCAAGCCUGAAACUCAAAGGAAUUGACGGGGGCCCGCACAAGCGGUGGAGCAUGUGGUUUAAUUCGAUGAUACGCGAGGAACCUUACCAAGGCUUAAAUGUAGUGGGACAGGCUUGGAAACAGGCCCUCCUUCGGGCUCAUUACAAGGUGCUGCAUGGUUGUCGUCAGCUCGUGCCGUGAGGUGUCAGGUUAAGUCCUAUAACGAGCGCAACCCCUGUUGUUAGUUGCCAGCGAGUCAUGUCGGGAACUCUAGCAAGACUGCCAGUGCAAACUGUGA
rnacentral:rRNA from 1 species